GAAACUAAAAGAAUUUGGCGGCAAUUUGAUUUUUUAGAGGAAHUUGCUUAUUAAUCGAUAUUCUUCGUGUGGUUUACUUUAUUUUGUUUGGCUUGUAUACCGUUGUUAUAAGAAUAUAUUUUUAGAUUAUUUUCUUAAUUUUUAAUGAGUUUAUUUCAGAUCAAGGUUUAGUUUAUGGUUAAGGUAGAGUGAGUUACAAUAAGGUUAUUUAUUACGGAUAGUAUUUGUUUAUAUUUAGGAUGAAGGUGGAUUUAAGAGUAAUAUUUAUAUUGAAGGUAUAUUUGAAAG
rnacentral:rRNA from 1 species